ACAUGGCACCUGAUACUUUAUUACGAUUCUAGUGGCGGACGGGUGAGUAACACGUUGGAACCUGCCCCAAAGUGAGGAAUAAGCCACCGAAAGGUGGUCUAAUACUUCAUAAUAUCCAUCUCGUAUGGAUUAAAGCUUUAUGCGCUUUGGGAGGGGCCUGCGUAACAUUAGCUUGUUGGUGAGGUAAAAGCUCACCAAGGCUUCGAUGUUUAACUGGUUUGAGAGGAUGACCAGUCACACUGGGACUGAGAUACGGCCCAGACUCCUACGGGAGGCAGCAGUAAGGAAUCUUCCACAAUGGGGCAACCCUGAUGGAGCAAUACCGCGUGCAGGAUGAAGCGUUUCGGCGUGUAAACUGCUUUUAUCACCGAAGAUUAUGACUGUAGGUGAAGAAUAAGGACCGGCUAACUACGUG
rnacentral:rRNA from 1 species